rnacentral:rRNA from 1 species
UGUGGGUUAAGUCCCGCAACGAGCGCAACCCUUAUCCUUAUUUGCCAGCACGUAAUGGUGGGAACUCUAAGGAGACUGCCGGUGAUAAACCGGAGGAAGGUGGGGACGACGUCAAGUCAUCAUGGCCCUUACGAGUAGGGCUACACACGUGCUACAAUGGCGCAUACAAAGGGCUGCAAACCAGCGAUGGUAAGCGAAUCCCAUAAAGUGCGUCGUAGUCCGGAUUGGGGUCUGCAACUCGACCCCAUGAAGUCGGAAUCGCUAGUAAUCGUGAAUCAGAAUGUCACGGUGAAUACGUUCCCGGGCCUUGCACACACCGCCCGU